rnacentral:rRNA from 1 species
AGAGUUUGAUCAUGGCUCAGAACGAACGCUGGCGGCGUGCUUAACACAUGCAAGUCGCGUGCGCAGUUCCCGUAGCAAUACGGGGAUGGGCGCACGGCGCACGGGUGCGUAACACGUGGGCAAUCUGCCCUCCGAUGGGGAAUAACCCCGCGAAAGCGGGGCUAAUUCCGCAUAACAUUCCGGGGACCUCGGUUCCUGGAUUCAAAGCAGUGAUGCGUCGGAGGAGGAGCCCGCGCCCGAUUAGCUAGUUGGUGAGGUAACGGCUCACCAAGGCAAUGAUCGGUAGCUGGUCUGAGAGGAUGGCCAGCCACACUGGAACUGAGACACGGUCCAGACUCCUACGGGAGGCAGCAGUGGGGAAUCUUGCGCAAUGGGCGAAAGCCUGACGCAGCGACGCCGCGUGGGGGAUGAAGCUUCUCGGAGUGUAAACCCCUUUCGACUGGGACGAAUGCCCGCAAGGGAGUGACGGUACCAGUAGAAGAAGCCCCGGCUAACUACGUGCCAGCAGCCGCGGUAAGACGUAGGGGGCCAGCGUUGUUCGGAAUUACUGGGUGUAAAGGGUUCGUAGGCGGUGUGGCAAGUUGGGAGUGAAAUCUCUGGGCUUAACCCAGAGGCUGCUUCCAAAACUGCUGUGCUUGAGUGUGGGAGAGGCGCGUGGAAUUGCAGGUGUAGCGGUGAAAUGCGUAGAUAUCUGCAGGAACACCCGUGGCGAAAGCGGCGCGCUGGACCACAACUGACGCUGAGGAACGAAAGCUAGGGGAGCAAACAGGAUUAGAUACCCUGGUAGUCCUAGCCCUAAACGAUCAGGACUUGGGGUGCCGCCCGUUCGGGCGUCGUCCCGGAGCUAACGCGUUAAGUCCUGCACCUGGGGAGUACGGUCGCAAGACUGAAACUCAAGGAAUUGACGGGGGCCCCGCACCAGCGGGUGGAACAUGUGGUUCAA